AUGGAGGUUACAACGGAGGAAGCACAAGCAGUGCUGCUGGAGGGAAUGGAGGGUGCACAGUAUAUUACUAUUCAAAGGGCUGAUGGGGAACCAUUAAGCAAAAGUGUUCCUCUCUUAACUCUCAAUGGGGAAUUAAUCCCUGAAGGAAUGGUUGUUGAUAUGAUCAAUGCCGGUGUUGGUACAGAUUAUGGUACAGCAACCCAAUAUUAUGAGGCAGAUGAUUUAUUACAACAUGAAUUAACAGAGGAAGAUCGUAGAUUGGCAGCUGCUUUGGUUGCUGUUCAGUUGCAGCAACAACAGAAACAACAACAGCUUCACAGUCAAUCUCAGCAUGAAGAUUCGACUUUACCAGACGUUUCUCAUUUAGAAACUUUAACACCGGUUAAUACGUACUCCAUUCAAACUGUACCAGAACCCAAUGCUCCGCCUGUAUACCCCACCUUGCAACCUUUCAAGCGAAUCACGCAUAACGUAAAGCAAGAGUUCAUAAACGUUAAAAGCGAAUAUGACGUGGACGUGUCGGCUGAAAGUAGCGAGGAUGCGACCCCAAGCUCCGGACCAAAAAGAUCCUUACCACAUAAAAAGAGGAUUCCCCGUAAUUUCAAACAGCAAACCAAGAGAAAUUCGACGAGGAAAGAUAGUAGUAGAUUGAAUUCAGACGGCAUUAAUGCUGAAUCGUCUACCGAUACCCAGGCUCAUGUAUUUAAGUGUGAGCUAUGUAGUUCUAAGUUUAGUAGUCAAUUGAAAUUUUUUGAACACCUCAAGGUGCAUUACGAGCCUGUGAAGCAAGAAACCAGGAUAGCACAAGCAACAAAUACAAAUAUCACUAUAUCUGUACCGGAAACUGUUCAGAGUCUUGAAAACACAGUGAUAGAAGAGUUCAGUGAACCUGAGGAUCUCAUGGAAGGCAUCAGGGGCGUUGUGGAGGAAACGGGUGCUCAUAUAGACGACGAAACAGAGUCUCCGUUAUCCACUGUAAACAAUGAAUCGCCAUUGUGGACAAUUACCGAUGUCACGGAGCAUGUACAUAGGGACCACGUGAAACCGGCGACUGUUAAUGAACAAACUCUACACAACAAAGAAAAGACUGACAUUCCACAAACAAUGAAAAAAAAGAAGAUACUGAAAGCAAGGAAAUCAAAUGAUGAACUGAUGUGUUCCCAAUGCGAUCGGACAUUCCACCACAAAAAUAGUUUAGUGUAUCACAUGCGAUCUCACAGUGGUGAACGACCGCAUCAGUGCGAAGUUUGUGGAAAAAGUUUCUUUGCUCCCAGCGCGUUGAAGGUACACAAGCGUCUUCAUAGCGGUGACAAGCCGUACAAAUGCGAAGAAUGCGGACGACAUUUUCGUCAAUGGGGUGAUUUAAAGUAUCAUUCGACUAGUAUCCAUUCGGAACAGAAACAAUACCAGUGCGAAUACUGUGGUAAAGACUUCGCGCGAAAGUAUUCUUUGAUUGUUCACAGAAGAAUACAUACCGGUGAAAAGAACUAUAGAUGUGAAUUCUGUAAUAAAACAUUCAGAGCUAGUAGUUAUUUACAGAAUCAUCGACGUAUACAUACGGGGGAGAAACCUCAUCAGUGCGCGGUGUGUGGAAAACCGUUCAGAGUGCGAAGUGAUAUGAAGAGGCAUAUGCAUACGCAUUCUAGGGGAAGAACCGAUAGACCAUUGAACAGAGUUAUAUCAGGGAAGAGUAUAGACGAUGAAAACGAUAAGGGAUCGCAGGCAAAAACGAUCCAGGAUCUCGUUAGAGAUUUGAAAUUGGAAGUCGAAGCAACAGGUGUGGUGGAAAUCGUUCCACCCGAUGAUAAUCCUGAAAGCAUUUUACCGCAUGCCGGCGGACAGACUUUAGAGUACACAGUUACAGCAUCAACGGAUGGUAAUUCGGACAGAGAUCCGUUGGAAGCGGUUGUACGUACAACUGAUAACAUGCAAUAUUUCUUCAUGUAACAUCUAAUGGAGAAAAGAUUGAAAAUUGUUGUUUUUGUACUAUAACAGUAUAUGUGAAAUUAGAACAUUAAAUAUUUGUUGUACAAAGGUGGUGCUUUGUGGAAACGCUGGCCUUCGCUGUAAUAUAGUAAAUCAUUGUUUGCACUGCUCGUAUAAUGUGCAUAGCGUACUUUCCAGUUUCUCUGCAAUACUACUUUUGAGGAAACGCCCUGAUGGAUAUAGUGUUUAAUACUGUUUUUAAGACUGUCAUUAGCAGAAAACUCGGUAAAGUACAAAACAGGAUUAUGAUCCUAAAAACUAUAUUAAUACACGUGUGUAUGUAUAGGUAAAUAUAUACACACGUAAUUGCAUAUAUAUAUAUAUAAAUAUAUGUAUAUAUAUAUACGUAUGUAUAUACGUAUAUAUUGUACUUAAAUUAGUUGUUUAUAUCGCGAAUCAUGGUUGAAAAAUAUAUUUUUUACGUAAAGACAUUUAUAGAAACAUUGUGGUCCACUUUUAUUGCAUUCACCAAGGAAACGUUUGUAACCUAAUCUUACAUAAUUGAAGAUAACGAAGCUGGUGCAGGCACCGUGUUAUUUGUGUUUAUGAAAAUUUGUAACAGUUGAACCAGAUCCCUGGAUUCAAGUGCUGCGCUAAGCUUUUCUGCAGCGUCUUUGCUAGUAAUUCUGAAAAUUUGUAUAAAAUGUAUAUAUACAAAGAGGUGCAAUUUAUUUAAGGUUUUUAACUUUUUCAACAGAAAACAAUGAAUUUUCAAGAUAGACUUUGAUUUAUAUUAUACAUAAACAUAAGAUAGAGAUUAAGAAGUCUUUCAAAGAUAAUAUUAAUCUCUGAAGGACGUUAACAAAAUUUUGUGUCAAUUAGUCUCUUUAUAUUAUAUUGUGUUCGUAAAAAAAUUUUUCUUAUGGUUCAUAUAUUAUAUCGUUGAGAAAUAAAUGAUUAAAAUUUUUAAUUAAAUUUAGAGCACGAAAAUGUUAUUUCGAAUCGUGAAUUCAGAGAAGAUAAAUGUUUUAAACAGAGAUACUGAAUAUAUUCAGUGUUGAAGUACAAAAUUUUGUUAAUUCACAUUACUGUGUCUUGUAAAGUAAUAGGUGAAAAGUAACUUUUAAUAGCAAUAUAUUGUCCAUAUAUCAUAUUAUUUAUAUUUAUUAAUACACACCUACGAGAACGUUUAGCUCUUUCCCAAUCGACGUAGAGAUCUGUAAUUACUGCUUGUAAUCUUUCUAAAAUUUCACUGUCUUUUGCCAUCUGUGACUUGAUCUCUGUUUCUUUCUGCAUCAAUUCUUGAUAUUCAGAGCACAGAUUGUCUUUUGGAUUUUCUUUCAGCUCCCAUUCCUCAAGGGCGUUCAGAAUUUUCACUUUCCUAGUCAAUUCAUGGGCACCGUUCAAUCGUGGAAGAAUUAAUUCCAAUACUUUGGAUACGCUCCCUUCUGCAACAUCUGUGAAGAACGAAGAAACAUAAGUUACACCUUGAAGAAUGACAAAAUUUUAAUUGAAAGCUAGUCAAUGGUGCUAUAAAAGCAACAGUACCACAGAAGACGUCUAAUUUGAUUUUUCUUUUUGUUGCUUCUCUCGUUAACACGUCCCUGAGAAUUAUAAUGCUUGAUACAUUUUCUCCAAGAAAAACGGCGCUUCCUUUCCUGGAAAUGAGAAUAUUUUAUCCAACUCAACGUCACAGUGAUGUAAGGCUUACUUAUAUUUGCAUUUUAGAACUGUGCCAAUAAAGGAUGAAAUGUAUGUUAAAACAGCCUCUCCUUCUUCCAAAUGAGGCCUUUCAGGAACAUCAAGUAAUGCAAGAGAAAGCCAAGCAUGCAUCUGAAAAAUAUUGAAUCAUAUUUAAAGAUUGAUAAAUAAAAAAAUAAAAAAUAUGAACUGUUACCUCAGCAAUGGUGAAGCUUCCAACUACUUUUAAUUCGUUAAAAGGACCUCUUUCAUGAACCUCUGUACCAUCAUUUUCAUGUAGCCUUACGUGAAGAGAUAAGGCACAUACAGAACAUACCUGUGAAGUGACAUAAAUUUGCAGGGUACCAGAUUGACCUUCGAUAGUUCUUAACUUCAUUUCAAGAUGAUUGGUGUUUACCUUUAAUAUUACAACCAUGUUAAUUUUAAGAAGAUCAAUGUGACCAAAAAUUUCUUAAAUAAAAUACAUACUUGGCAGC